GAUGAAGAACGUAGUGAAAUGCGAUAAGUAAUGUGAAUUGCAGAAUUUAGUGAAUCAUCGAAUCUUUGAACGCACAUUGCGCCCGGCAGUAUUCUGGCGGGCAUGCCUGUUCGAGCGUCAUUUCAACCAUCAAGCCCCAGGCUUGUGUUGGGGACCUGCGGCUGCCGCAGGCCCUGAAAACCAGUGGCGGGCUCGCUGUCACACCGGGCGUAGUAGAUUUUAUCUCGCUCAGGGCGUGCUGCGGGUUCCGGCCGUUAAAAAGCCUUUUUUACCCAAGGUUGACCUCGGAUCAGGUAGGAAUACCCGCUGAACUUAAGCAUAUCAAUAAGCGGAGGA
rnacentral:misc_RNA from 1 species